rnacentral:sRNA from 1 species
CCGAGACGCGAUGCCCGGCUCGGGAGAAGGGCCGGAUAAACUGGCCCCGGAUCGGCGUCGGGCGCAGCCCCCGACCGGUCCGUCAAUGAUCAGCCAGCAGCCGCUGCAACCCCAGGGAG